UUUUUUUUGGUGCUCACUGGUUUCCAUCUCAUCUAAUUUUUUCCAUGUCUUUGGCCCGAGCCGUAUGAGCACAAUUAAUCUUCCAGCGCCUUCAUUUCUCUGUUCAUUGAAGAAAGGCACUGGUUGGGGAUUUGAGAUUUGAGCAAGAAGAAACAUGUCUUUUUGGGGGAAAGUGAAAGCUUGUAUGCCAAAUCAAAGCUAGGACCGAGUACUGUUUUAAAUGAGAAUCCACGAUUUGGGUCACUGAACAAUGAUCAGAAUCAAUCAUUUGAUGGGGUCAAACAAAAAGUGUCCCCAAGGUGUUCGACGAAAUGCCUGUGGGACAAAUCAAGGGACAACCAUAUCUUGUGCUUGUUGGAGAAGUUGUCUGGUGACUCGUGAGGUUAGUAGUACCAAAAAACUCCUUUUGGCUAUGACUGAAAUGUUCGGAUAAAUUUUGUUUGUGGACUAAAUGCAUUUAACCCAAGUUGAUGAACCCAGAAAGCUAGCUAAUUGCACAUGUUUUGAGCUUUGAGUCCCCUUGAGAAGGGAAACUGUUUGGGAAUUUAAUUGCUCUGUUUUAGUACAUUGGUCUGCUCUGUAUUAAAGCCAUCAUCUCACUUGCA